GUUGAAUUCUUAUCCCAUUCUAUCAUAAUAAUUCCAGUUAUAGAAACACUAUCUGAUUUCCAGAGCACUGAAAUGAAGAUUACCAAAAACUUUGCCUCAUUCCAAGCUGCACUAAAGGUUGAGAGGGUGUUUCUCCAGAGAAUGGUGACUCGAUGUACUAAAAUUGAAUCUGACCUUGGAGAUUUCUUUGAUUUGAAUGUACAGACUACAAAUGUAGGACUACAUCCAGCAUCUUAAAUUCUGUAUCCCCA
rnacentral:lncRNA from 10 species